rnacentral:rRNA from 1 species
CCCGUUCCCAUGCCGAACACGGAAGUUAAGCUCUUCAGCGCCGAUGGUAGUUGGGGGUUUCCCCCUGUGAGAGUAGGACGCCGCCAAGC